AGCCUCAGUCUUGUUUCAGUGCUAGAAAUUUCGAAAUAUUUGUAGCAAAAGCUAAAACAUUUUAGCUUCCGAUUGGAAAAAUAAAUCAGAAAAUUCAUUUCUCAAAAUAAGUAAGACAAUCCUAAUAGUUCCUUGUCAAAUUCUGCUCUAAAUAUUCUGCAGAAAUUAGUUGUUAUUUAAAACAAGUUGAAGUUGUCUAUAAAUAUGCAUUCAAUAAUUACUUAGAAAAGCUAGAACUUUCCUCAAAUUAAGUUGCUUACAAUAUAAAUUCCACAACGAUCAACUGCACUUUAACCAGCUGCCACACCCAAUGGAUAUUUCUAAUCGCCUUAUCAUUGCAACUGUCGGAAGCUUGAAAUUUUUGUCUGGUCGGGGGCAAUUUGUAAGCAAUUCAAUGGAUUUGAUAGGAUCCAAGUUAAUUAGUGUCGUUUAAAUCAAAUUUAACGCUCAUCAUAAACAAUAAAACGAUCGUUUGCCUUAAUGGGCAUUCAUAAUAACUGACGAUCAAUCAAAACGGACGCCAAGCACUCAUCAAUCAUCAAUCAUCAGUCAUCAGUCAGCUGUCAGCAAUGGGCAUUCAAACAUGAUGGGAGCAAGUCAAAACACGCUCAGACUUAAAAAGAAUGUUUGAACCGUGUGUGAAAUUGAAAGUGAAAACGCCCACAAAGCUAAGCAAAAAUCUUAAGUCUGAACUUCGCAAAUAAACUUUAACCUUUUACCUUGCAGCCGGACAUGAGUCAAAGAGAAAUUAGUCAUCUCCAAAUACGUAGGAGCAGUGUAUAACAAAAAUGAGCAAAAAUAAAAAAACAAAUCAAGAACAUAAAAUACCUUGAAAAGUUCUUAAUAUGAGACGUAAACAAGGCCUAAGACAAUCAAAUGUAUUUUGACGUUUUUGUCAGAUUAUCAAAUUGAAAGCUGCGACAAUUUUUUGGUUUUUUUGUCAAUUUCCAAAAGCUGGUCUGCAAAAAUUAAUAUUUUGUUAAAGAUAAUUAAACGCGCUUCGUCCAGAACCGACUAAAACAAUAAUAAAACAAGAUACAAGCUAGAUUAAUAA